rnacentral:rRNA from 1 species
ACGAACGCUGGCGGCGUGCCUAAUACAUGCAAGUCGAACGCGAGCGACCGGUGCUUGCACUGGUCAAUCUAGUGGCGAACGGGUGAGUAACACGUGGGUAACCUGCCCAUCAGAGGGGGAUAACAUCCGGAAACGGAUGCUAAAACCGCAUAGGUCUUCGAGCCGCAUGGCUUGAAGAGGAAAAGAGGCGCAAGCUUCUGCUGAUGGAUGGACCCGCGGUGCAUUAGCUAGUUGGUGAGGUAACGGCUCACCAAGGCCGUGAUGCAUAGCCGACCUGAGAGGGUGAUCGGCCACAUUGGGACUGAGACACGGCCCAAACUCCUACGGGAGGCAGCAGUAGGGAAUCUUCCGCAAUGGACGCAAGUCUGACGGAGCAACGCCGCGUGAGUGAAGAAGGUUUUCGGAUCGUAAAACUCUGUUGUUAGAGAAGAACAAGUGCUAGAGUAACUGUUAGCGCCUUGACGGUAUCUAACCAGAAAGCCACGGCUAACUACGUG